CCUCAAUGCAGCUUGGGAGGGUGAGAAGCCUCGUGGGUUCGAGUCGAGCGCGCAGCGCGAGACAACAUCGCCAAUGGCGAUGGCCCGAAGGGAAGGAGCGAAGCGACGCAUCAUCCCUCCCUAUGUUUAG
rnacentral:sRNA from 1 species